rnacentral:rRNA from 1 species
AUUGAACGCUGGCGGUAUGCUUAACACAUGCAAGUCGAACGGCAGCACGAAAGAACUUGUUCUUUUGGUGGCGAGUGGCGGACGGGUGAGUAACGCGUAGGAAUCUGCCUAGCAGUGGGGGACAACCUGGAGAAAUUCAGGCUAAUACCGCAUACGCCCUACGGGGGAAAGUUGGGGAUCUUCGGACCUGACACUGUUAGAUGAGCCUGCGUUAGAUUAGCUUGUUGGUAGGGUAAUGGCCUACCAAGGCGACGAUCUAUAACUGGUCUGAGAGGAUGACCAGUCACACUGGGACUGAGACACGGCCCAG